GUGGACUCGUAUUGAUUUAUUUUGCAGUGUCUCUAGAGGCUUCUUCAAGGUUAAAAUGUAGACAUCGCACGUUAGGCUGGACUAAACGCUGGCAGGAAAACACAUUUGGCUUUUUUAAUUGGAAAAACAUACUCCUUUUAUCACCCUGAGGCCAAGACUCUACCACAGCAGCAUGGGGAGGGCAGGGGAAUGUUCACAAGCAGGAGAUGCUCUGGUUCACUCCUGCUUGGGGUUGUCGGUGGGGGAACAGAGCCCCCACAACCAGAGCCAGCCCUGGGGUCCCACUGGGCCACGAAAGAAAUUCCCCAGGGAUGGUGGGGCCAGUGACCACCCCAGGUGGGGACGUUGGGUGUGAGCCUCCUGCUGAACAGACCUGUGCUGAGUUUAGGAGCUUGGUGCCAGCUCCGUUUUUACCACUGGGAGCUCACACCAGUCAACAUCGGAGGGAGAUCGAGGUCCCACAACCUGGUGGGGAUAGAUCAGUGUUUGUCCCCAGCAGCUGGUGGCAGGGGCUUGUCCCAAGCAGAGAUGCUGGGCAUCAAGAGCAGGAGAGACCCCCACAUGCCCACCUCAGAUCUCACUACCCUGAUUUCAGUCCGUACAGUCGCAGCCACUAUUCAGCUGCAGAAAGAGAUGGGAAGAGAAUUAUUCAUUCUUAAGAAGAAUUUGACAGCCCCUUCCAUCCUCAAAGUGUUUUCCACCCCUGGUGCUUCUCCUGUACUUCUUGUUCCCCUUCCUUUUGCAGGUGAGGGGACUCACCACAGGCCAUGGAAGGAGGCAGUGCCAGAGAUGGGAUGGCUGCUGCUGCUGCCGUGGGUCCCCUUUCCCCGUCACUCCGGAGCCGGCAGUGGAGCGCGUGCGGCCGGGGAGCUCUGCUGGGGAAGGGCUGAAGGUUCAAUCCAGAGCAGCGAGGAACACGGCAAAGCAGGGGAGAGGAAGGAUGGGACCCCCAAAUCCUGGUUUCUCUGCGUCAGGAUCAUAAAGGUGUCCCCACCACCAGCCUGGGUGCAUGCUCGUGGUGGUGGAGCAGUGAUUGAGGUCUGGGGCAGAGCCCUCUUCAUCCCAUCCUGGAGCUGGCUCACAGCUAAGGGUGGGGAAUGGUAG
rnacentral:lncRNA from 1 species